rnacentral:lncRNA from 1 species
AUGAAGACAGACAUCUGGCUCCACCCUAGCUCUGCUGGUGAAGAACCGUGUGCAAAUGGGGCAUUACCUUGUACCAUCUCAUCUCCUUUGAUUACAGAUUUAUAUACGUUAACAUUGAAGUUGGUCAGUCGUGUCCGACUCUUUGCAACCCCAUGGACUGUAGCCUACCAGGCUCCUCCGUGCAUGGAAUUUUCCAGGCAAGAGUACUGGAGUGGGUUGCCAUUUUCUUCUCCAGGAGAUCUUCCCGACCCAGGGAUCGAACCCGGGUCUCCUGCAUUGAAGGGAGACCGUCUGAGCCACCAGGUAAGUCUAAUAUGUUUUAAUACCUAGGAAGGUGAGACCCUC